GGCCCCAUGAAAGAAAAAAAGGCUUAAAAAUAAUAGUUUGUUUAAUACGGCAAUUUUUUUUUUUUUUUUUUCAUUAAAUAAAAACCUUUUUAGACAAAUUUUGUAAUCAUUGUGUAAAAUUAGCUACAGGGCAAUCGUGAGAAUCUGCUGUAAAAUAUGUAAUUUUCCACGAUCGGAGGAUUCGGAGCAUGUUUCAUGAAAUGACAUGGCUAAAAACCACGAGAAAGUUACACCAUGUGUGCAUUUGGGGUUUUCCGUGUUAUAACUCGAUGAAGUUACGAGCGAAAAUGCUACAUGACAGCUACCUUACAUUUUUUUUUUUUUUUACUAAACUACAUGCCACCAGUGCAGUUUUAUGUGUUAUAAAUUACUGAGGAAUAUCUUUAGAUAUAAAUGACGGAUUCUUAUGGGCUGCGUCGGAUGAUAUCAUUUAUGAUGAAAUGAUGAUAUCAUUUACUCCAUUUAGCAGCGCGUCAUGGCAACAAAAUAACGUUAAGCCAACAACAAAAAUACAAAGAGGCGACUUGAUAAAUUCACUGAAUUAGUUCCUUCGCUCUAACAGUCUACAAACCGAGACAGAUGGCAUGUAAGGCUGUUGCCCACCGGAGUGGCUUGCGAAACAACAGGAAUUUCAGGGAGGUAAUUUUUACAAGGUUCAGCAAAACUAGAGAGAGAACUUGCAUUGUUUUUGCAGUCUGCGAUUCCAUAACCUUGACCAACAUCGAAAUGAGGAUAAUUAUUACUACUGUUAUUCUUCUGUUUUGUGAGGAAUUUCUGAACUGCAACCAUAACAAAGACAGUGAAGUCUGACUAUACUUACAGUGUUGUCUCACUGAAGAAUUAGUUUUGAUUGCAGUGGAGGAUGAAUCUGGAAAUGCAGUUAUAUUACAAAAUGAAAGACUUUCACUGGAGAGUUAGACUUUGAACCCUGACAGCAGCUGACUUCACCUCAAUGAAGAAAAUUUAUGGACUUUGCUUGCCUUAAAAUGGACACCAGCUUGAAGAUGGUGUUCUCCUGUGCCAAGAACCAGUAUAAAACAUUUCGCCAGUUACUUUCGCUUUCAGUGUGUGGGACUAUUAGUAUUAAUAAAGGAACAUGAAUGAAUGAGACAGUAAAGAGCGGGACAUGCUUGAUAUUAAAAAGAUGGGCAGAAUUAAUUAAACUUAAAGCCACGAAACAGAACUCAAUCCGCUUCUGACUAGAUGUUGUCUCUCUCUCUCGCUCUCUGUCUCUCACACACACACACACACACACACACACACACACACACACACACACACACACACACACACACACACACACACACACACACACACAGAGACACAGACAGACAGAGAAUUCUCAAGAGAAUUCAUCCCCCUGUAAAUCAACCUCAAAGUAAAAGCCCUGCACAAUUUAUAAUGGAUAGCUGCAUAUUUGUGUGUUUUAGUUUCCAUUGUCCUAAUAAAGUUACUAUUAAAACGUUAUUGGAAAAAAAAGCAUUUUAUAUAAUAUUAAGCUUUAUAUACAUAUGGUGGAAUGGUUCAACUUUAUCACGGUUCAGUUUGUAUCACGGUUUUAUAGUCACGGUUUCGGUAUGGUGUGUGCUGUGUUUAUGGAAAAAAACAAACAGUUUAUGGACAGAAAACAUAUGUGAUAUAUGAUAUGUGAGAUGAUCUUUCUGGCACAUGAUUAGCUGCACCAGUAGUUAGACAGUGUUAAAUUCUGAUGUUAAUAUUGUAACAGCUGUAACCUCAUGUGCAUUGGGGAAUUCCAAUAUUUGAAGAGAAUAUCUGUUUCAGUACUAACGCCUGUGAUAUUCCUUGCAUGAAUGAUAUAUUAAGCAUGUAUGUGGGGUCACGAGAAUAGUACUAUGCCACUAAAAUUGCAAUCAACAAAGUAAACUAUUUAAAAGUAAACUAUUUAAAAGAAAUUAAAAGUAAUUUCUACAUAUACUAAUAUAUUUACAUUUCAA
ensembl:lncRNA